rnacentral:rRNA from 1 species
UACAGAGGGGGCAAGCGUUGUUCAGAAUUACUGGGCGUAAAGGGCGCGUAGGCGGCCUUCUAAGUCAUGCGUGAAAUCCCCGGGCUCAACCCGGGAACUGCGUCUGAUACUGGAAGGCUUGAAUCCGGGAGAGGGAUGUGGAAUUCCAGGUGUAGCGGUGAAAUGCGUAGAUAUCUGGAGGAACACCGGUGGCGAAGGCGGCAUCCUGGACCGGUAUUGACGCUGAGGCGCGAAAGCCAGGGGAGCAAACGGG